AGCUCCAAUAGCGUAUAUUAAAGUUGCUGCAGUUAAAAAGCUCGUAGUUGCAUUUCCGAGGCAAGGGAUUAGUCCGACCUUUGGUGGGUAUUUAAUCCUCUUGCCUCGUCCUUGAGUGGUGCUUCUUGGUAUUAAGUUAUCGAGGAGAUAGCCGCUCAUCGUUUACUGUGAGAAAAUUAGAGUGUUCAAAGCAGGCUUAUGCCGUUGAAUAUAUUAGCAUGGAAUAAUAAGAUAGGACCUCGGUACUAUUUUGGUGGUUUGAGAACCAAGGUAAUGAUGAAUAGGGACAGUUGGGGGUAUUCGUAUUCAGUUGUCAGAGGUGAAAUUCUUAGAUUUACGGAAGACGAACUACUGCGAAAGCAUUUACCAAGGAUGUUUGCA
rnacentral:rRNA from 1 species